rnacentral:lncRNA from 1 species
AGCCAAAAAUUCAUCUCAAUACUCAAGUUAUGGCUCCAACCAUUACUACAAACAAAACCGCUUAUUUACUGCCAUUGAUUUGGAAGCGCCGCCUUUAACUCCUUACAACUCCUUCAUAUGAACUCCAAAAGCAAUAAUUCUUUCAUGAAAGAUGUAGGCCUUGAAAUCGCCGUUCUAGUCGCACCUUCCGAUCUUCAAAAGCUAUUGUAAAACUCCUCGUACCCUCAAAAGAGUAACAGUAUGUCUUAAAUAAACACCUUAACUUCAAACGGCUAUAACUUUUUCAUCCUGACUCCAAAUCCUCUAAUUUUUGUACAGAAAUUGUACCCCAAACCCUAAAAUUUACAAUCCUAGCUUUUAAUCUUUGAAUGCUUUCGAAAGAGGAACCCUAAUCCCUAAUAAGGCCUCAGGCAGCCUCCUUGAAG